AGCAGUGUGGCCUAGUGGAUAAAGCACGGGCCUGGGAUCCAGAAGUCCUGGGUUCUAAUCCCAGCUCUGCCA
rnacentral:tRNA from 1 species